rnacentral:rRNA from 1 species
ACAUGCCUAUAGCAUAGCAUUAAUGCAUUGGAUCCCAUCAUAACUUUGCAGUUAAGCGUGCUCAGUCUAGAGUAGUACUCAUAUGGGUGAAUGCCCGGGAAGACCUAGUGUUUUACAUGCC